AAAUUGAAGAGUUUGAUCAUGGCUCAGAUUGAACGCUGGCGGCAGGCCUAACACAUGCAAGUCGAACGGUAACAGGAAGCAGCUUGCUGCUUCGCUGACGAGUGGCGGACGGGUGAGUAAUGUCUGGGAAACUGCCUGAUGGAGGGGGAUAACUACUGGAAACGGUGGCUAAUACCGCAUAACGUCGCAAGACCAAAGAGGGGGACCUUCGGGCCUCUUGCCAUCAGAUGUGCCCAGAUGGGAUUAGCUGGUUGGUGAGGUAACGGCUCACCAAGGCGACGAUCCCUAGCUGGUCUGAGAGGAUGACCAGCCACACUGGAACUGAGACACGGUCCAGACUCCUACGGGAGGCAGCAGUGGGGAAUAUUGCACAAUGGGCGCAAGCCUGAUGCAGCCAUGCCGCGUGUAUGAAGAAGGCCUUCGGGUUGUAAAGUACUUUCAGCGGGGAGGAAGGUGUUGUGGUUAAUAACC
rnacentral:rRNA from 3 species